rnacentral:snoRNA from 1 species
GUUGCCCCUAGAGGCGUUACAGGUUGGACUGCAGUGUCCCUCUUGUGUCAUUAGGCGGCAGAGAUAAACCUGUGGCCGAGUCUACGCUCAGAGCUCUGACCUGUGGGCAAUCUGAAUGGUUACCAGCCAUACACG